rnacentral:rRNA from 1 species
UAGGGAAUCUUCCGCAAUGGACGCAAGUCUGACGGAGCAACGCCGCGUGAGUGAAGAAGGAUUUCGGUUCGUAAAACUCUGUUGUUAGAGAAGAACAGCGCAUAGAGUAACUGUUAUGCGUGUGACGGUAUCUAACCAGAAAGCCACGGCUAACUACGUGCCAGCAGCCGCGGUAAUACGUAGGUGGCAAGCGUUGUUCGGAUUUAUUGGGCGUAAAGCGAGCGCAGGCGGUCAAUUAAGUCUGAUGUGAAAGCCCCCGGCUCAACCGGGGAGGGUCAUUGGAAACUGGUUGACUUGAGUGCAGAAGAGGAGGGUGGAAUUCCAUGUGUAGCGGUGAAAUGCGUAGAUAUAUGGAGGAACACCAAUGGCGAAGGCGACUCUCUGGUCUGUAACUGACGCUGAGGUUCGAAAGCGUGGGUAGCAAACAGG